rnacentral:rRNA from 1 species
AUUGAACGCUGGCGGCAGGCCUAACACAUGCAAGUCGAACGAGUGGCGGACGGGUGAGUAAUGUCUGGGAAACUGCCCGAUGGAGGGGGAUAACUACUGGAAACGGUAGCUAAUACCGCAUACCAUCGGAUGUGCCCAGAUCGGAUUAGCUAGUAGGUGGGGUAACGGCUCACCUAGGCGACGAUCCCUAGCUGGUGUGAGAGGAUGACCAGCCACACUGGAACUGAGACACGGCCCAGACUCCUACGGGAGGCAGCAGUGGGGAAUAUUGAACAAUGGGCGAAAGCCUGAUCCAGCCAUGCCGCGUGUAUGAAGAAGGCCUUCGGGUUGUAAAGUACUUGCAGCGAGGAGGCGUUAAUCGCAGAAGAAGCACCGGCUAACUCCGUGCCAGCAGCCGCGGUAAUAC